rnacentral:rRNA from 1 species
AUUGAACGCUGGCGGCAGGCCUAACACAUGCAAGUCGAACGAGUGGCGGACGGGUGAGUAAUGUCUGGGAAACUGCCCGAUGGAGGGGGAUAACUACUGGAAACGGUAGCUAAUACCGCAUAGCAUGGGAGGGGCCCAGAUGGGAUUAGCUAGUAGGUGGGGUAACGGCUCACCUAGGCGACGAUCCCUAGCUGGUCUGAGAGGAUGACCAGCCACACUGGGACUGAGACACGGCCCAGACUCCUACGGGAGGCAGCAGUGGGGAAUAUUGCACAAUGGGCGCAAGCCUGACCCAGCCAUGCCGCGUGUAUGAAGAAGGCCUUCGGGUUGUAAAGUACUUUCAGCGAGGAGGCGUUACUCGCAGAAGAAGCACCGGCUAACUCCGUGCCAGCCGCCGCGGUAAUAC